rnacentral:rRNA from 1 species
AUUGAACGCUGGCGGCAUGGAUUAGGCAUGCAAGUCGAACGAGAUGCUAUAGCUUGCUAUAGUUGAGAGUGGCGAAAGGGUGAGUAACAAGUGAGUAAUCUACCUCUAACUCGGGGAUAGCCCAUGGAAACGUGGAUUAAUACCGGAUGUGAAUGGUUGAUCGCAUGGUCUUCUGUUUAAAAUUUUUUGGUUGGAGAUGAGCUCGCUUCCCAUUAGCUUGUUGGUAGGGUAACGGCUUACCAAGGCUACGACGGGUAGGUGGUCUGAGAGGAUGGUCACCCACACUGGAACUGAGACACUGUCCAGACUCCUACGGGAGGCUGCAGUCGAGAAUCUUCCGCAAUGGACGAAAGUCUGACGGAGCGAUGCCGCGUGAAUGAUGAAGGCCUUCGGGUUGUAAAAUUCUGUCACCAGGGGCGAAAUUUGACGGUACCUGGAGAGGAAGUGACGGCUAACUACGUGCCAGCAGCCGCCGUAAU